AGAGUUUGAUCCUGGCUCAGAUUGAACGCUGGCGGCAGGCCUAACACAUGCAAGUCGAGCGGAAACGAGUUAUCUGAACCUUCGGGGAACGAUAACGGCGUCGAGCGGCGGACGGGUGAGUAAUGCCUAGGAAAUUGCCCUGAUGUGGGGGAUAACCAUUGGAAACGAUGGCUAAUACCGCAUGAUGCCUACGGGCCAAAGAGGGGGACCUUCGGGCCUCUCGCGUCAGGAUAUGCCUAGGUGGGAUUAGCUAGUUGGUGAGGUAAGGGCUCACCAAGGCGACGAUCCCUAGCUGGUCUGAGAGGAUGAUCAGCCACACUGGAACUGAGACACGGUCCAGACUCCUACGGGAGGCAGCAGUGGGGAAUAUUGCACAAUGGGCGCAAGCCUGAUGCAGCCAUGCCGCGUGUGUGAAGAAGGCCUUCGGGUUGUAAAGCACUUUCAGUCGUGAGGAAGGUAGUGUAGUUAAUAGCUGCAUUAUUUGACGUUAGCGACAGAAGAAGCACCGGCUAACUCCGUGCCAGCAGCCGCGGUAAUACGGAGGGUGCGAGCGUUAAUCGGAAUUACUGGGCGUAAAGCGCAUGCAGGUGGUUUGUUAAGUCAGAUGUGAAAGCCCGGGGCUCAACCUCGGAAUAGCAUUUGAAACUGGCAGACUAGAGUACUGUAGAGGGGGGUAGAAUUUCAGGUGUAGCGGUGAAAUGCGUAGAGAUCUGAAGGAAUACCGGUGGCGAAGGCGGCCCCCUGGACAGAUACUGACACUCAGAUGCGAAAGCGUGGGGAGCAAACAGG
rnacentral:rRNA from 1 species